rnacentral:lncRNA from 1 species
AGCCAGGGACGCGCGCUCGGUCCCCCGCCGUGCGCCCCCGGUGCCGCGCCCAGGCUCCCGCCCCGGCCUCCUUACCAGCCACUUGUCUCCCAGCUGCGAACUGGAGCGGGAGGCGGCGGCCGGAGGGCCCAGGACAGCCCCGGGAGGGCGGCGAGGCGGAGCAGGAGCGCCCCGGCUCCGGCCACAUUCUCAGAGUCAGGAAAAGGGGCGAGAGGCCACAUCUCUCCCUCUCGCCAAACUGAAAACGAAACGGCGCUCCAGCAGAUUGGGUGGAAAGAGCUGUGUCUUGUUUUCUCUGUUUUUCACGCUAGAAAGGGCUUGUAAACAUUGUUUCUUUUAAAAUGACCUACCCCGGGAGGUUUGGGCACACUUCUGUCCUGGGGUCAUCGUUCCUAGGUGGCUUCGGACUUGGGACUUUGAUUUCCUGUAUCUGCACAUUGUCGUUUUAUACACAAUUGCCAAGGUGGAACUGAUUUCAGCUUUACUGAGCUUGAAGCUGCAAAGUGGAUCCUGUUACACUGAAACAAGAAAUGGCAAACGGAUAACAGUUACUGUGCCUAAAAGAUGGUUCUGCCCUGACGUUUCCUGGAAUAAUGCUGAGGACUGCCUGUCGGGUAGCUGCCUUAUUCAGUUCACUUCAUCUCGGAAACACCUGACCCCUGCCUUGGAUCCAGCGGCCCUCCUGAGAGCUGAGGAAGGAGGAAAUCCUAUGUGUCUGCUCCCAGAGCUGCCACAACCCAUCUUCCCACAACUCGGAACUUGGAAAAAGGAACCCAGGACACGACUUUGCUUUUCUUUUGGACCUAGUUGGUGAUUAUACCCGGUCUCCCAUGGAGACCAUGUCUUGCAUCCUUCCUUCUGUAUGGGAUUUAGGAUAGAAAUUAAAAAGAAAACAUCUUAUUUUGAGUCUUGAUUUGGAG